rnacentral:rRNA from 1 species
GAUGAACGCUGGCGGCGUGCCUAAUACAUGCAAGUCGAGCGAACAGACGAGGAGCUUGCUCCUCUGACGUUAGCGGCGGACGGGUGAGUAACACGUGGAUAACCUACCUAUAAGACUGGGAUAACUUCGGGAAACCGGAGCUAAUACCGGAUAAUAUAUUGAACCGCAUGGUUCAAUAGUGAAAGACGGUUUUGCUGUCACUUAUAGAUGGAUCCGCGCCGCAUUAGCUAGUUGGUAAGGUAACGGCUUACCAAGGCAACGAUGCGUAGCCGACCUGAGAGGGUGAUCGGCCACACUGGAACUGAGACACGGUCCAGACUCCAACGGGAGGCAGCAGUAGGGAAUCUUCCGCAAGGGGCGAAAGCCUGACGGAGCAACGCCGCGUGAGUGAUGAAGGUCUUCGGAUCGUAAAACUCUGUUAUUAGGGAAGAACAAAUGUGUAAGUAACUAUGCACGUCUUGACGGUACCUAAUCAGAAAGCCACGGCUAACUACGUG